rnacentral:rRNA from 1 species
UACGUAGGGGGCAAGCGUUGUCCGGAUUUAUUGGGCGUAAAGAGCGUGUAGGCGGCCAUACAGGUCCGUUGUGAAAACUGGAGGCUUAACCUCCAGACGUCGAUGGAAACCGUAUGGCUAGAGUCCGGAAGAGGAGAGUGGAAUUCCAGGUGUAGCGGUGAAAUGCGUAGAUAUCUGGAGGAACACCGGUGGCGAAGGCGGCAUCCUGGACCAAUAUUGACGCUGAGGAGCGAAAGCCAGGGGAGCAAACGGG